GAGACACCUUGUGGGGCAGGACUUGCAUCAGUGGGUCUUUGGUGCUCACUGAGUCUGCCCCUUGAAUGUGUCUCU
rnacentral:pre_miRNA from 1 species